rnacentral:rRNA from 1 species
CCUACGGGCGGCUGCAGUGAGGAAUAUUGGUCAAUGGGCGUAAGCCUGAACCAGCCAAGUCGCGUGAGGGAUGAAGGUUCUAUGGAUCGUAAACCUCUUUUAUAAGGGAAUAAAGUGUGGGACGUGUCCUGUUUUGUAUGUACCUUAUGAAUAAGGAUCGGCUAACUCCGUGCCAGCAGCCGCGGUAAUACGGAGGAUCCGAGCGUUAUCCGGAUUUAUUGGGUUUAAAGGGUGCGUAGGUGGCCUGUUAAGUCAGGGGUGAAAGUUUGUGGCUCAACCAUAGAAUUGCCGUUGAAACUGGGAGUCUUGAGCACAUUUGAGGCAGGCGGAAUGCGGGGUGUAGCGGUGAAAUGCUUAGAUAUCACGCAGAACCCCGAUUGCGAAGGCAGCUUGCUAAGCCAUGACUGACGCUGAUGCACGAAAGCGUGGGGAUCAAACAGGAUUAGAUACCCGGGUAGUC